rnacentral:rRNA from 1 species
UCUGAUAAUAAAAAAAUUAAAAAAACGCCCGAUCUCGUUUGAUCUCGGAAGCUAAGAUAGGUUGGGCCUGUUUAGUACUUGGAUGGGAGACCGCCUGGGAAUACCAGGUGCUGUAAGCU